rnacentral:rRNA from 1 species
AUUGAACGCUGGCGGCAGGCCUAACACAUGCAAGUCGAGCGGAUGAAGGGAGCUUGCUCCUGGAUUCAGCGGCGGACGGGUGAGUAAUGCCUAGGAAUCUGCCUGGUAGUGGGGGAUAACGUCCGGAAACGGGCGCUAAUACCGCAUACGUCCUGAGGGAGAAAGUGGGGGAUCUUCGGACCUCACGCUAUCAGAUGAGCCUAGGUCGGAUUAGCUAGUUGGUGGGGUAAAGGCCUACCAAGGCGACGAUCCGUAACUGGUCUGAGAGGAUGAUCAGUCACCAUGGGAACUGGGACCGGGUCCGGCCUCUAACGGAGGCAGCAGUGGGGAAUAUUGGACAAUGGGCGAAAGCCUGAUCCAGCCAUGCCGCGUGUGUGAAGAAGGUCUUCGGAUUGUAAAGCACUUUAAGUUGGGAGGAAGGGCAGUAAGUUAAUACCUUGCUGUUUUGACGUUACCAACAGAAUAAGCACCGGCUAACUUCGUG